rnacentral:rRNA from 1 species
GUAGGGAAUUUUCCGCAAUGGGCGAAAGCCUGACGGAGCAACGCCGCGUGAGUGAGGACGGCCUUCGGGUUGUAAAACUCUGUUCUUGGGGAAGAAACUCCGGGAGGCGAACAACUUCCCGGCAUGACGGUACCCAAGGAGAAAGCCCCGGCUAACUACGUGCCAGCAGCCGCGGUAAUACGUAGGGGGCGAGCGUUAUCCGGAAUUACUGGGCGUAAAGCGCGCGCAGGCGGCCGGUUAAGUCGGGUGUGAAAGGCUGCGGCUCAACCGCAGAGCGGCACCCGAAACUGGCGGGCUUGAGUGCAGGAGAGGGAAGCGGAAUUCCCGGUGUAGCGGUGGAAUGCGUAGAGAUCGGGAGGAACACCAGUGGCGAAGGCGGCUUCCUGGCCUGUAACUGACGCUGAGGCGCGAAAGCGUGGGGAGCAAACAGGAUUAGAAACCCGGGUAGUCC